GGGGACGUUCUGGAUUCGACAGGGAUAGGUCGGGCUUAAGCUGCGAGUCGAGCUGAGUGUCCUCGUAAAAACGCUCACCUUGCCUACAGUUGGCAAACAAGAUAACGAUUUCGCUUUAGCAGCGGCGUAAAAACCCUGCUGGCGGUUCCACCCUUCAUCGCCCAUGUGAAGGAUCUGGGACUCACUCUAAGUGGGCUACGCAGUAUUCCCACCACCUGAGGGAAGACUGAAGAGAUCAAUCAGGUUAGCCUCAGGGACGCCUGUUCGUUGGCAGAUCUGAAGGCGAAUCUUCAAUAAACGAACUACACUCGUAGAUGCUUAGGUUGCGUUAUCUCUGGACGUGGGUUCGAUUCCCACCGUCUCCACCA
rfam:Bacillus selenitireducens MLS10, complete genome.